rnacentral:rRNA from 1 species
CCUACGGGAGGCUGCAGUAGGGAAUAUUGGUCAAUGGAGGCAACUCUGAACCAGCCAUGCCGCGUGCAGGAAGAAGGCCCUCUGGGUUGUAAACUGCUUUUGACAGGGAACAAGAAGUCCAUGCGUGGAUUAGUGAGUGUACCUGUAGAAUAAGCCACGGCUAACUACGUGCCAGCAGCCGCGGUAAUACGUAGGUGGCAAGCGUUGUCCGGAUUUAUUGGGUUUAAAGGGUGCGUAGGCGGCUUUUUAAGUCAGUUGUGAAAUAUCUCGGCUUAACCGAGAGGGUGCGAUUGAUACUGGGAAGCUUGAGUUACAGCGAGGUCAGCGGAAUUGAUGGUGUAGCGGUGAAAUGCAUAGAUAUCAUCAAGAACACCGAUAGCGAAGGCAGCUGACUAGGAGUACACUGACGCUGAGGCACGAAAGUGCGGGGAUCAAACAGGAUUAGAUACCCAAGUAGUC